rnacentral:rRNA from 1 species
CGGGGCUUAAAGUCUUGUAAUUGGAAUGAUGGGAAUUUAAACCUCUUCCAGAGUAUCAAUUGGAGGGCAAGUCUGGUGCCAGCAGCCGCGGUAAUUCCAGCUCCAAUAGCGUAUAUUAAAAUUGUUGCAGUUAAAAAGCUCGUAGUUGAAUUUCUGCUGCAUUGCUUGUGUCCCUCUGGGGUCUGUGCAUGUGGCUUUUUUCGGACGGAGUUUCUUUGUCUGAAUGUUUACUUUGAGAAAAUUAGAGUGCUUAAAGCAGGCUUUCGCCUUGAAUAGUUUAGCAUGGAAUAAUAAAGUAGGACUUUGGUUCUAUUUUGUUGGUUUUAGGUACCAAAGUAAUGGUUAAUAGGAACAGUUGGGGGCAUUCGUAUUUAACUGUCAGAGGUGAAAUUCUUAGAUUUGUUAAAGACGAACUACUGCGAAAGCAUUUGCCAAGGAUGUUUUCAUUAAUCAAGAAC